rnacentral:lncRNA from 1 species
ACCAAAGAGAUAGGUAGCGCCCUUAUCCCCAGUUAAGUUCUCAACGAGAGAAUCAGUAGUGUAGCGGUGAAGAAUAGGCUUGGCUCCCGACCCGAAAACAGGACCCCCUGAAAACAGGAACAGUAAUAACUCCCAAUACACAAUAAAACGAGUGCUUUUCUUUUUAUUACUUAUGUGUUGUCGUAGAGAAAGUAUGCAGCUAUGGGUUCUGUAUAUCUCGGUGUUGGUGCAAGUGCAAUUCCAGCCUCUGUGCUGUAAGGAAACAAGUUCUUUUUUUGGAGUUCGAGUAUCAUCUCUGAUAGAAGCUCUGCGUAGGUGCUCUAGCUCUGCUCUAAGUAUGCGAGAGAAUCUACUUUCUAAAGUCAGUCAGCAGAAGCAAGAGAAGUCAAGUCGACAAAAGAUGGAUCUGGAGUUGUAAAAGAGGAAGGAGAUAGAUCUGGUUAUGAAGCAACAGAAUCAAGAUCUUUACCCGAACCGAGUUGCAACUCGCUAAGGUGGGUGUUCGCACUUUUCAAACUCCUAGUCGUUAGUUACUCCAAACUUUUCUAACAGCUAAAGUCCAAAUCAAAACCGGUAUAACAGCUUAAGUCAAAAGAGAAACCAAUGAAGAAAGGACUAGUAGUUGCGCUUGGUCAUUAGUGGUUACUUGGUCAGUUUCAAACAUUCCCAUAUCAAUUAGAUCUUUCUCUUCUCUUAUUAUAGGAUGAAAUUGAGGUAUAGGAUUACAUUUAGGAUGCAACUCGACCAGAAAAAGAAUUUCUACCUAUUCACUUUCACUAUAUAGGGAGAGUCACCUAUAACUUCACUACUUGUUGAGUUCGCCCUUGUAGUAGUUACUAGUUUUGUUUAGAGCAACACCAAGCACAAGUCUCAAAUAUGGGUUUCUAGUUUCAUCAACGAGAUCAUCAAGGGUUCCUCCUUCUAGCUGCUCCUUCAUGAGUUUCAGUUUCCCCUUCAGAGUAGCGGUAAGUAAACUAGUUCAAUAGGUUGAUUACUAAUUCUUAUCAGAGUUUAGGUAAAUCCUCUGACUCCCUAUAUUAUAUGUUUAUUAGCGGUAUUUGCAGUAAAUAAGAAUAUUGAGUAGUUACUACUUGUCUGCUAGUAUAGUAAUAGCUUGGCAAAGGACUAAAAAGCACUCAAUACACUUAAAGAAAGAAAGAGAUCUUCUUCUUAAUACGUACGAUUCCACUCGCCCAGCUUCUUAUCGAACUGCGGAUUAUUCUGAUAUGCCUAUAACGGGGAGCCCACGUAGCAGAAUCAAACCAGAGCAACGGAAUCAC